UGUUAUAACAACAACGCUCAUGUAAUAACAACGCUCUUGUUAUAACAGCGCUCUUGCAACAACAGCGCCCAAGAAGUAACAGCACUCUUGCAACAACAGCGCUCUUGAAGUAACAGCGCUGUUGUAACAACAACGCCCAUGUAAUAACAACGCUAUUGUUAUAACAACGCUCUUGAACUAACAGCGCUGUUGUAACAAUAGCGCCUAUGUAACAACAACAACGCUCUUGAAAUAACAACGCUGUUGUAAUCAACAGUAACCAUUUAACAACAGCGCUCCUGAAAUAACAGCGUUGUUGUAACAACUGAUUGUUUAGACUUACAGAAGCAAGCCUCUUAU
rnacentral:lncRNA from 1 species